rnacentral:rRNA from 1 species
GAUGAACGCUGGCGGCGUGCCUAAUACAUGCAAGUCGAGCGAACAGACGAGGAGCUUGCUCCUCUGACGUUAGCGGCGGACGGGUGAGUAACACGUGGAUAACCUACCUAUAAGACUGGGAUAACUUCGGGAAACCGGAGCUAAUACCGGGUAAUAUAUUGAACCGCAUGGUUCAAUAGUGAAAGACGGUUUUGCUGUCACUUAUAGAUGGAUCCGCGCCGCAUUAGCUAGUUGGUAAGGUAACGGCUUACCAAGGCAACGAUGCGUAGCCGACCUGAGAGGGUGAUCGGCCACACGGGAACAGAGACACGGUCCAGACUCCUACGGGAGGCAGCAGUAGGGAAUCUUCCGCAAUGGGCGAAAGCCUGACGGAGCAACGCCGCGUGAGUGAUGAAGGUCUUCGGAUCGUAAAACUCUGUUAUUAGGGAAGAACAAAUGUGUAAGUAACUAUGCACGUCUUGACGGUACCUAAUCAGAAAGCCACGGCUAACUACGUG